GUAUAAGACCUGAAUGUCUAAAUGGCACCAGAUCUCAUCUGAUCUUCGAAAUGAAGUAGGGUCAGCCCUGGUGCGUACUUGGAUGGUAGACCACCAAUGAGUGCCAAGUGCUGUAGGCU
rnacentral:rRNA from 1 species